rnacentral:rRNA from 1 species
UACGAAGGGGGCUAGCGUUGCUCGGAAUCACUGGGCGUAAAGCGCACGUAGGCGGGUCUUUAAGUCAGGGGUGAAAUCCUGGAGCUCAACUCCAGAACUGCCUUUGAUACUGAGGAUCUCGAGUCCGGGAGAGGUGAGUGGAACUCCGAGUGUAGAGGUGAAAUUCGUAGAUAUUCGGAAGAACACCAGUGGCGAAGGCGGCUCACUGGCCCGGUACUGACGCUGAGGUACGAAAGCGUGGGGGGCAAACAGG